rnacentral:rRNA from 1 species
AGAGUUUGAUCCUGGCUCAGGACGAACGCUGGCGGCGUGCCUAAUACAUGCAAGUAGAACGCUGAAGAGAGGAGCUUGCUCUUCUUGGAUGAGUUGCGAACGGGUGAGUAACGCGUAGGUAACCUGCCUUGUAGCGGGGGAUAACUAUUGGAAACGAUAGCUAAUACCGCAUAACAAUGGAUGACACAUGUCAUUUAUUUGAAAGGAGCAAUUGCUCCACUACAAGAUGGACCUGCGUUGUAUUAGCUAGUAGGUGAGGUAAUGGCUCACCUAGGCGACGAUACAUAGCCGACCUGAGAGGGUGAUCGGCCACACUGGGACUGAGACACGGCCCAGACUCCUACGGGAGGCAGCAGUAGGGAAUCUUCGGCAAUGGGGGCAACCCUGACCGAGCAACGCCGCGUGAGUGAAGAAGGUUUUCGGAUCGUAAAGCUCUGUUGUAAGUCAAGAACGGGUGUGAGAGUGGAAAGUUCACACUGUGACGGUAGCUUACCAGAAAGGGCCGGCUAACUACGUGCCAGCAGCCGCGGUAAUACGUAGGUCCCGAGCGUUGUCCGGAUUUAUUGGGCGUAAAGCGAGCGCAGGCGGUUUGAUAAGUCUGAAGUUAAAGGCUGUGGCUCAACCAUAGUUCGCUUUGGAAACUGUCAAACUUGAGUGCAGAAGGGGAGAGUGGAAUUCCAUGUGUAGCGGUGAAAUGCGUAGAUAUAUGGAGGAACACCGGUGGCGAAGGCGGCUCUCUGGUCUGUAACUGACGCUGAGGCUCGAAAGCGUGGGGAGCAAACAGGAUUAGAUACCCUGGUAGUCCACGCCGUAAACGAUGAGUGCUAGGUGUUGGAUCCUUUCCGGGAUUCAGUGCCGCAGCUAACGCAUUAAGCA